rnacentral:rRNA from 1 species
CCCUAUGGGAUCCCUGUGUUCAGCAUUCCUCUCCAUUGUGAUGGCCUGAUAUUGAUCCCUUGCAUAAUGGGGAAAAUUUUCAUCUGCAACCCGGCCACUAGAGAGUUUGUUGAGUUGCCACCUGGAAGCCCAAGUGUUCUCUUUGAGCACAGGGUCGCCUUUGGCUUUGAUCCUUGGAGUGGUACCUACAAGGUGGCGAGGCACUUCAUCCGCUCGUACAGAGAUACUCUGCAAAUAGAUGGGGAAGGAGGCACCACUAGAGAAUACAGCAGUGGACAUGAGAUCUUAACAUUCGGUGGUGACAGCAAAGAAGAAGCUUGGGUAUGGAAGGCCACUGUGGAUCCACCAUACCCUAUCAAGGCCAGGACUCCAAUUUGUCUCCCAGGGGUCUUCUUUUGGAGUGCUCUCAAGUCCAUGGCACAUGGCAAGGUUAUCUCGAAUGUCAUCCUUCGAUUUAGUUUACUUGAUGAAACAUUUACGGUGCACCCUAACCCUCCAUGUAGUGAUCAUCUAGGCAAGAAUGAUGCACUAUCUGCACUAGGUGGAAAGUUAUGCUAUAUCCACUCUCCCACUCCGUGGGAGAUUGCCAUUUGGUUAGCGGAAGAUGGGCCAAAUCUGACUUGGUCACUAUGCCGCCGUGUCAGUCUGCCGAUACCAAGAAAUCUUCUUGCCUUUGCAUGUGCGUCAACUGACCCGGACAAGAUAUUCCUCUCCAUUGAUGCGCGCUACCUUCUCAGGUGUGACCUCCAUAAUGAAUCUCUUGAAGAAAUAAUCAACAUGCGUGACAUGUUGUAUGAUCUCCAGAACGGCAGAAAAUUCACCAUUGGUUCACUCUUUGUUGCCCACUAUAUGGUGCCAUUUGUGGAAUCACUGUUGCGCAUCAGAUCUUCAUAG